rnacentral:rRNA from 1 species
UACGGGGGGGGGCAAGCGUUGUUCGGAAUUACUGGGCGUAAAGGGUUCGUAGGUGGCCUGCUAAGUCAUACGUGAAAUCCCUCGGCUUAACCGGGGAACUGCGUCUGAUACUGGAUGGCUUGAGUUCGGGAGAGGGAUGCGGAAUUCCAGGUGUAGCGGUGAAAAUGCGUAGAUAUCUGGAGGAACACCGGUGGCGAAGGCGGCAUCCUGGACCGGCAUUGACGCUGAGGAGCGAAAGCCAGGGGAGCAAAGCGGG